ensembl:snoRNA SNORD116 Small nucleolar RNA SNORD116
GGAUCGACGAUGACUCCCACAAAUGAAUUCCUUGGAUAUCUGAACAAAAUGAGUAAGAAAUCCGUAGCGUCACCUCAUUGGAACUGAGGUCC